AAACAGGAAGUGAGAUGCAUAGCAACCACAAGCCAAAAAGCAGGAAAGCGCAUACCUUUAGCUUGGAAUGAAAAUCACGAGAUUUCCUUCUGGCAAGAACCUGAAUGUGACUAGACACCUGCAGGGUAGGGGAAGGGAGGAAAACAAAGGAAAAGCCUGUAACCAUGGAGAUGAAAAGCCCCCUACAACUGGGCAAGCCAGACGUACCUUAAUGGCGGCUUGAAUUUCUCGAACUUUCUUUCUUGCUAAGACCUGUAUAUGACUAGACACCUACAUUGUUCGGGUUUAUGAGGGGAAACAAAACAAAACAAAACAAAACAAAAAAAGGAAAUCAAAUAUAAAAUCGCUACUCCUUGGGAGGGUUUUGGGGUGGGGGUUGGGGGAAGGUUAUUUGCAUCUCAACAAAGCUCUGCAGUUAGGAAAUACACAGUCCCAGCCAGACACCAAGCCCCCAGCGCUGCUCUAAGCUUUUCAGACUGGGUCAUCACUGCAGUGACUUGAUUCAGGAUGAAAGUUAGGCUGCUUUUAGUUUUCUCACCAGGGAGAAAUCACGGGCACGGGAUGAGAGGGGGAGAGUGGAGUUGUUUUCUUGAUGAAAUUUAAAAGGUGGGGCUAGAGGUAAAUGAAAAUAUUUAUAGCUUCUCAGGAUCAGGAGGGGAAAUCCCUCCUUCUCAAUUUAGAAGAGACCAUCCAUAAAUUAGCACAUUCUGCAGAAUCAAAAAGCCGAAGCUGUCGGUUAUAUUCUGAUCUCAUUAAGAGCUCUGGAUUCUGUAGCAAAUGUUAAAAUAAUACCGACAUGUAAAUUAGAUCUCACAGAGAAAUGGACAGACCCAGUCAGCAGAGGGGUUUUUUUCUCCCCCCCUUAUAAAUAUCUUCAAUCCUUCCACUCUUUUGGGUACUGACUGGGCGCGAAGUGGAUUUGCAUAUUAUUACAAAGCGAAAAGUGUGAAUACAGCCAGCCAGCCAUCCUGUUAAAAAUCUGGGUUGAAAACCACACGAUUUGCUGAACAACAAAUUCACAUUGGAGAGGUAUCACCAACUGCUGCCUAAAAACAUCCCCAGGAUGCCGGGGUGUUGGAAACCAAGCCAAGCCCAGCUUCGGAAACACAAUGAUUCCACUGGGUAAACAAAUUUGCAUCUCUUUCAGUGGGUUACAUUUGGUUAAAUUUAGAAGAGUCCCCGGUGAAGGGGUUGGGCACGGGACUAGGGCUCACAGACCCAGCAGAGAGAUAGCCCAGGUCCACCGCUUUCAGUAUGCUGGGAACUGGAUCUAUUUCGGAAAUUUAGAACCCUCCAUUGAAAAGUUCAGCAACUCGGACCGAGAGGCAGUUAUUCCAUUUCGAACACUAUACUGACUGUAAAAACAGGAUUUAUGGUAACAAAAGAUCCUUUUAUCUUUAGCUUUAUCUUUGAGUUUCAAUGAUUUUUGUUUGCAAGUUGCCUUUUUUUUUUUUUUUUUAAAGUACAGAGAAGCGGGAACUCCCCCAUCAUCGUCACCCCUCCAUCCGGCUCCUGCUUUUACUUGUUCUCCCCCUACUUUUGUUCUUACAUGAUUCUCUGACUUGCCUAGGGCCACUGUCCACUGUCACAGGGUGGGGGGAGCAUGCACCGAACAGACAGUGCCCUGCCUCUGAGCCCUGGCAGGAAGCCACGGCCCUCUGUGCUGACUCAGCAGUCGGGCUGCUGGCGGGGGCACAUGUAACAUUCCUGGGGAAAAGCUCUCCCCGUCAUAAACACUCAUGAAAACAACUCAUCGCUGAGCAGAGAACUGGAGUCUGCUGCUCAUACUUAACGAGAUCCACAGUUAGGCUUGCCUUUUGGUCCGAUGAUAGUUGUCAAAAUCCGUGCCAGAGAGAUCAGCAUAGGUCAAUAUUAAAAAAUAAUUGUGCUCUGUUAACAGCUCACCCAUGAGGUUUGUUCGAGGCUCUUCCCCCCCUUUGCCUUUCUCUCUUUCUUUCUCCGUUUUUAGCUAAACACGAAUUGCUCAUCCAUUCCAGUUCUGAACUGGGUCAGAGAUUUGGACCGCUUUACGUCAGAAGGAACGGGGAGAGAGCCAGAGCCCUGACAGAGGGCAGAGGAAAAUUCCUGACGCUACUCUGCACAAAGGUAUUUAAGUUAUAACUUCAUUUCAGUCACAGCAGCUACUGACAAAAAGCCAUAGCUUAAGGAGCAACAGUUCCCUGGACGCACAUCAUUCAGUAUUAUGUUCAGGCCAACAGUCAUGGCUGCCAGUGUUACUUUUGCAUCGAAAUGAUGACUAAUGCAGAAUUGUUCCAGGAUUUUACAAUGCGCAAAAUCUCAAAAUUUCGUGACUUCCAAGUGUACUUGCACCUGCAGCGUCUGUAGCGUUUACAGAUGCGCAGUUCGGGAAAGAAACAGAAGUAUUAAAGUACAGUACCAGACCAGUGCAUACACUGUCCUUGGCAGUGAGACUUUCCCAUGUGUGUAUAAAAAGAACUCUGGAGACCACAUCGUAAAGGGUCACUGAAAUGAUGAACAGUGAAAACUGAGCCAAUUGGAAACACCUCCAAUACUGACGUCCUUACAGGGAACUCAAGUUGGGGGCUCCUAGGAGCCAAAGCACAGCCAGCCAGUGCAGCCAAAAUGCCUCGUCGGGCCAUUCGCUGACAUGCACAGUGUCCAGGUCUUCCUGGAGUUGUACCUAGGCCAAGCUUCCUCUGUUCCUGUUACCUGUGGCAGCUUUUGGAACACUACCACAGCCAUCCGCAGGGCCUCGCUGAGCACCUAGCAUGCGCAGAGCACUACGCGACAGCCACCAUUUCACUGAAGCUUGUUGUGACUCUCACGUCCCUGUUCUUUGCGGGUACCGCUGAUGCGACUUUUAAAUUCAGAUUCAACUAACUCUGAGCACCCACCUGAUCUAGUGGGGACCACCUCUUUGCGCCUUCUACGAUGCCUGCCUGGUGCAUCAGGGAUAUAAAGAGAAGACAGACUGCCUGCCCACAAGGAGGUCACUGGCCAACACAAAAGCUAAGAUAAAAGCGCCAACCAGCUCCAAGGGUCACACUAGGACUACCGCCAUGGAAGAGGGUCUGGUAACAUACACGGACAAUCGGACGCAGUAAUUUAGGAAGUCUAGAAAGCUGUCCCCAAAGUACCGGAACAUCAUCCAGGCCUUUAAGGACAGGUGAUACUUUCUCCCAUGUUUUAUUAUGAAAAGUUUCAGACAUACAGAACUUUUUUUUCUCUUUUGCAGAACCUCACAGCACACACUACGUACGUACCCACCUCCUUCGCUUUUUCUAUACUUGCUUCGACAUGCCUUUCCGUUCCUCUGCCCAUCCGCCGAGCUCUUAUCUUAUUGCUGCGGUUGCGUUUCGUGUUGUGGUGGCUUCCGCAGGCAUGGGAACACUUUUCCUAAGACUUCAAUGUGAGUAUCAUUAACUGAAGUGCUAAGACGGAAUGGAGGGGCAUGGGAGGAAGGCCAUGCCACACGGAAGAGCGGCAUUUCCUUACACACAGAAGCGGGAACGUGGAACCCCACAAAACCACACCUGCCGGCCCUGAAGCUCCCUUGACUGCCCCACACUUCCUUUCUGGGCCCAAGAGUUUCUGACCCGAUAGUCAGCGCCCACGGCAUUCACGCCUCACCUUCACACUUCUCUACCAAUAUUUGUGAUAGCUUAUAGAGCUCAGUGCCAAUGUCACACUUCACCACUAAGUGUCAUUAUACUAUAGCUACUCUGGGGCAUAAAAUGUCCGUUAGACACCUACACCCCCUUGCUUCUCUAAGCCUGAGGCUCGGCAGCUGUGGCUGCCCUUGCUUUUCCCACAGGCAGCGGGCAGCAGCAGAGACAAAGCCCGACUCGUCACUUUCCUACCGUGAUCCUCACCAGGCACCGCAAUCCAGCCUUUAUUUAUUCUUCCUUUUUCUUAAAGCACAUAACAGCGUUGAAAGUGAGCCAUCAUCGCUGCUCCCAUGCCCCGGAUGGCCGUGCAAUCUCCCGCUAAAAGGGACAACAGGGAGCAAGACUCCAGCUGAAAGGCGAGGAGUCUGCACAGGGCUUGCCUUGCCCAGACAGAAGACUGGUUAACGUUGUUGUGGGCUGGGUGUGCGAUGGGAUGUGGCCUCAAGGUCAUGUUUGAGGCCCAGCAAAUGCAGGGUCUGUGGCUAGAAAUUGUAGCCCAGAGACACUGGGCUUUCACAGCGUAAGAGCCACUUUGUAAUUGAACGGAGGCAGGGAGCCACAAAGAAAGAAGUAAGGCACGGAACCUCCUCUUAAUGGCUGUAGCAGAGGUUCAGAGGCAAACUCACACCAGGGGAGGGCUGACCACCCCAGGGGCAGGGCAGGGGCUCUGGUCACUGCACACUGGCCCUCUCCUUGCUGGGAGGGACACCUGAGGAUCCCCCACGUCUCUUAACCACGUUGAAAAUCAGAAAGGAAACUCCAACUUCUCCAGACUGCUAGAACGAAGCCGUAUCAAAUAGACACCGAUGCUAUGGUUGCGACCUCAGGGCCUUCUUCCACAGCCCCUCACAAACCCUAACUCAGCUCAAUGACCCUACUGGCUACCAGAAGCUUCCCUGUUAACACCUUGAGCUUUCCAAGCUCUGUACCCGCACGCACCACUGCUUUUCCCUGUACUGCCCUGACUCUUUUCUGCACAUCUGGAUUCUGCUCAUCUUUCAAAUGCCUCGUCCUUCGUGAGCCUUCUGGAUAGAAGAGGCCUCCCUUUUUCUUAAACAUCCACAGCCUCUGACUUGGGCCUCUUCACUGCUGGUUCAUAUCCCUUCUGCCUUAUAUUCUAUUGUUUCGGUACAUGCCAUGGCUCCAACCAGAAGUCGCUGAAAAUAAGAACCAAUGGUACUCCUCUUUUCUCUGCUUCCCCUUCCCAGGCAGCUCAGCGUUUGUGGAGUGAGUCACUGACAGGGGCAGAAGCCGGGCUGCUACCUCCCUGUGAUCAAUGCACUAUGACACGGGAUCAUCAACAUAAAGCGAACACAGAAAAGGGAAAGAUGUCCCAGUGGAGAGAAGCAAAGAAGACGCCUUCUGCAAGGUGACGAGACCGCGGGACGUGGCUCUGUCCUCCGACACAGGAGCGGCGCCCUACAGAGAGACGGUUUACGAAGUACUGUCUCGGGCAAGAUUCUCUAAGGUGGUGGUAAAAUACUUUGUAGCCACGAAUCCCCCCCCCCCCGCCCCCUUUUUUUUUCCCUGUCAGCUGAGGUUCCUCUCAAGGAAAAAUUCUCUUAGGCUUUGAAAGUCAACACCAAAAUGCACAAGUGUAGGGGACGAUGUGGGCACCAAGGGACACACACUCCUCCUGAAUCUAUGCGGAGUCUGUACGAAUGGACACUGCCAGAGGAGGCAGUCAAGGGUCUUUAUUAACUAACCUGGGAGGAGUUAACAAUUAACCUUGUUUUCCACAUGGCUGCCAUUGCACCAGCAACACGGGGAGGAAAAGGAGGCCUACUGAAGCUGGUCAGUCACCGUCUAGUCAGACAACUGAUGGCACCUGCAGAGCACAAGCAAUAUGCCAGCAUCACGGGGGAGGGGGGGUAUGAAGAUGCCACUGCCUUCAAGGAACCUACACCUGUGAAGGACCCUCAUGACAAUGGAGUCCAGUCGCCCGGCCCGGGCCUGUGCCUCUCGUGCACCACAGCUGACGCGGCCCACGUAUCCGAAUGCUUCCGUGAUAAAUGCCUGCCCCUCCCACUUUGCCAGACAGGAAGUUCCACAGGAGCACCGGCCACACAUUGGGGUCUGUGCAUCACUGUACCCCCGGGGUCGAGCACACAGCAGGUCCUCAAGAGGGCUUAGAAGCAAUCGCCGUAGCAGAAAGAAUACAGAGGACGGCUAUGUUAACCUCUGGCAAGUCGGCACUGACUCCUCACACCCCUUCAGAAGGCCUGGAGAGAACUCAAAUCCCACUUCCAGGAGCUCCUACCAGUCAACGGCGGCUGAUAACAUUAUCAAGGGAUGGCCCCCAUAAAACGCCAUCUUGUCCUUCCUCUUAGCGGGACAGCUGACAGACUGCACACUCGGAGUAGACUACAAGGGCCAAAGAGGCAAGCAAGUAAAACCGCCCAAUGCUUUGUAUGGAACACAGUCCUUCUACACUGGAGAGAAAUCCUUGCUGUAAUUAUGUCUAGAAGGAAAAUAAAUAUGAAUGAAGUAAGCGUC